GUCAUGCUUUUACAGUAUGGAAAUUGGUGAUUUAUAAUAACUUGGCAAAUCGCAAAGUGAAAACAGGCGAUAAAUCAUUCAAGUUUCUGACCUAUCAGCUUUCGACGGUAUGGUAUUGGCUUACCGUGGCAGUGACGGUUAACGGGGGAUUAGGGUUCGAUUCCGGAGAGGGAGCCUGAGAAACGGCUACCACAUCUAAGGAAGGCAGCAGGCGCGCAAAUUACCCAAUUCUAACAGUUUGAGAGAGGUAGUAACAAGAAAUAACAAUACAAGGCAAUUAAAAUGCUUUGUAAUUGGAAUGAUAGAAAUUUAAACCCUUUUUAAAGUAUCAAUUGGAGGGCAAGUCUGGUGCCAGCAGCCGCGGUAAUUCCAGCUCCAAUAGCGUAUAUUAAAAUUGUUGCAGUUAAAAAGCUCGUAGUUGAAGUUCUGCUAAAAGUAACCGGUCUGCUUUUAAUAAAAGUGGUAUCUUGGUGUGUAUUUAGCAAUGAUGUCCUUUGAAGUGUUUUUUACUUUAUUGUAAUAAAGCAUAUUCAGGACUUUUACUUUGAGAAAAUUAGAGUGUUUCUAGCAGGCCGACGCUUUGAAUACUGCAGCAU
rnacentral:rRNA from 1 species